rnacentral:sRNA from 1 species
UGUAGUAUUCCUUAAUUUCCAAUCUCGGCGGUGUUUCGUCAUCGUUAUCCUUGCUACUUGUGGUUCGAUCAGGUGGUGGUUCUACGGCGGCAUCUUGGCUAGGUCGGGAUACAAUAGUCCAGCUCAUUAAGGCGUUGUUGCGCGUAUGUAAGAUGGCGAGUUGUUGCUCUCGUUCGCGAAUUUGAUCGUUCAACUGUUGCAGUCUGUGGAAACCAUCUUGGGUUGUCUAACUACAGCGUAAUGUUGCGAGUUCUUAUUUAUAGGGCGUGCGUAACAGCGGACUACUCAAAUAAGGCUAAGAGCGAUUAGGAUUGUGUAAGAGGUAGGCUACAAAGGGUAGUGAUAAGAGUGGUGUGAAGUACGCACGGUAGUAUUAACAAGGUAGCAAUCUCUUAUAUUCAAAGCUAAUCACUGAUCUAUAUAGACAGUGUUGCCACACCACACGCUAUAUCCAUCAUGGUUCUAGCACAAUCAUCAUCAAUACACUGAGCUAUUUUCCAACCUCGGCGUUGCACCUCAUCCCAAUAAAACUACAUACACUACAUAUAAUACACUCUCACUUCUUCAUUGACUACGAGAUUAGAUUAAGGAUUAGAGUUAGAGUUAGAAACAGCUAGAACCUUGCAAAAUAUGAAAAAUCAACAUUAUUGAGAGGGAUCAAGAAGAUGUUGUGAUGAUGUGUGGAUUCUAUGUGGAAUAUACACUAGUUAAUAGGGCGGG